rnacentral:lncRNA from 1 species
AUGGGGCUCUAUGGCAUGCUAUGGGGUUUCUAUGGAGCUCUAUGGGGUCUCUAUGGGUCCCUAUGGGGCAGCUAUGGGGUCUCUAUGGGUCUCUAUGGGGUCUCUAUGGGUCUUUAUGGGUCCCUAUGGGUCUCUAUGGGUCCCUAUGGGUCUCCAUGGGUCUCUAUGUGGUCUCUAUGGGGUCUAUGGGGUCUCUGUGGGGUCUCUAUGGGUCCCUAUGGGGCAGCUAUGGGGUCUCUAUGGGGUCCCUAUGGGUCCCUAUGGGUCUCUAUGGGUCCCUAUGGGGCAGCUAUGGGGUCUCUAUGGGGUCUCUAUGGGUCUCUAUGGGUCCCUAUGGGGUUUCUAUGGGUCUCUAUGGGUCCCUAUGGGGUCUCUAUAGGGUCUCUAUGGGUCUCUAUGGGUCCCUAUGGGGUUUCUAUGGGUCUCUAUGGGUCCCUAUGGGGUCUCUAUGGGGUCUCUAUGUGGUCUCUAUGGGGCUCUAUGGCAUGCUAUGGGGUUUCUAUGGAGCUCUAUGAGGUCUCUAUGGGUCCCUAUGGGGUCUCUAUGGGUCUCUAUGGGUCUCUAUGGGUCCCUAUGGGUCCCUAUGGGGUCUCUAUGGGUCUCUAUGGGUCUCUAUGGGUCCCUAUGGGUCCCUAUGGGUCUCUAUGGGUCUUUAUGGGUCUCUAUGGGUCCCUAUGGGGUUUCUAUGGGUCUCUAUGGGUCCCUAUGGGGUCUCUAUGGGUCUCCAUGGGUCUCUAUGGGGCUUGCAGGAAAGGGGGCGUGGCCAUGGAAGUGGGCGGGGCUUUGACGUUGGUGGGCGUGGCUUCAUCUUCUGGGCUGCCUCUAUUCUGUCGAUCCAGGGGAACCCAGCCCCGAUUGCAGGUGCUGGUGGUGGGAGCGGAGGAGCUGAGCCAACAACACGGACCAGAGAGACUGAAAAGGGAACUGAGGCGCUGCUUCCCGCUGCUGGACGCUCUGAUUGGUGGAGACGUCACCUUGUCCCGCCCACUUCCGGCCACGCCCAGACCGGAAAUGGAGGUCCUCCUGCAGUCUCUAUGCUCCGCUGCUCGUUCCGGUCCCAGCUGCAUCCGGGUCCUUGGGGUCGGGGGUCCCCCGUUGGUCUCCACACCCCAAUGGCGGGCUCUGCCCCACACGGACGCCGCCAUCUUGGUUUCUCUCCUCACUUCCGGUUCCGCUCACUCGGCCAAGGAUCUGCCGGUUUUCUUGCCCACCGGAAGUCCCGCGAUUCAGCUCUGCCCCCUCGGCGCUAUGGGGCGGCCCUAUGGAGGAUGAAGGAGCUGCUGGUGGAGCGGUAUUGCCCCGAAGGAGGGGGGGGUGAAGGUAUGGGGUGAACUUAUGGGGCACUUAUGGGGCUG